rnacentral:tRNA from 1 species
CGUCGCUUGCACUAGCGAGCAGACGGACUCUUAAUCCGUAGGUCGAGUGUUCGAGUCACUCAGGGCCCACCA